rnacentral:snoRNA from 1 species
AUCCCGGAUUAACUCGCUUAGCUGUUCUUCUGAUUCAUGGGAGGCCGAGAUCGAUGAUGCUGGCAGUUUCGCUGAUAGCCCCUUCCUCUUGCUGGAGGUGCUUCAUUAGUAACUUGCCACACAUUC